GACGAACGCUGGCGGCGUGCUUAACACAUGCAAGUCGAACGGAAAGGCCCUGCUUUUGUGGGGUGCUCGAGUGGCGAACGGGUGAGUAACACGUGAGUAACCUGCCCUUGACUUUGGUAUAACUUCAGGAAACUGGGGCUAAUACCGGAUAGGAUCUCCUGCUGCAUUGUGGGGGUUGGAAUGUUUCGGCGGUUGGGGAUGGACUCGCGGCUCAUCAGCUUGUUGGUGGGGUAGUGGCUUACCAAGGCUUCGAAGGGUAGCCGGCCUGAGAGGGUGACCGGCCACAUUGGGACUGAGAUGCGGGCCAGACUCCUACGGGAGGGAGCAGUGGGGAAUAUUGCAAAAUGGGGGGAAGGCGGAUGCGGCGACGCCGCGUGCGGGAUGACGGCCUUCGGGUUGUAAAGCGCUUUCGCCUGUGACGAAGCGGGAGUGACGGUAAUGGGUAAAGAAGCACCGGCUAACUACGUG
rnacentral:rRNA from 1 species